AACGAACGCUGGCGGCAUGCCUAACACAUGCAAGUCGAACGAGACCUUCGGGUCUAGUGGCGCACGGGUGCGUAACGCGUGGGAACCUGCCCUUAGGUUCGGAAUAACUCCCCGAAAGGGGUGCUAAUACCGGAUAAUGUCUUCGGACCAAAGAUUUAUCGCCUUUGGAUGGGCCCGCGUUGGAUUAGCUAGUUGGUAGGGUAAAAGCCUACCAAGGCGACGAUCCAUAGCUGGUCUGAGAGGAUGAUCAGCCACACUGGGACUGGGACACGGCCCAGACUCCUACGGGAGGCAGCAGUGGGGAAUAUUGGAAAAUGGGCGAAAGGCUGAUCCAGCAAUGCCGGGUGAGUGAUGAAGGCAUUAGGGUUGUAAAGCUCUUUUACCCGGGAUGAUAAUGACAGUACCGGGAGAAUAAGCUCCGGCUAACUCCGUG
rnacentral:rRNA from 1 species